CACGAACCGUACGAACGUUAUUCGGAAUUACUGGGCUUAAAGGGUUUGUAGGCGGCCAUGUAAGUCAGGUGUGAAAUCCCUCGGCUCAACCGAGGAACGGCGCUUGAUACUGCAUGGCUUGAGGGAGACAGGGGUAAGCGGAACUGAUGGUGGAGCGGUGAAAUGCGUUGAUAUCAUCAGGAACACCGGUGGCGAAAGCGGCUUACUGGGUCUCUUCUGACGCUGAGACGCGAAAGCGUGGGGAGCAAACAGG
rnacentral:rRNA from 1 species